GAUUGGAGAGGAGAGGAGACAGGGAUGAGGCAGAGCAUGGGAUGGGGCUAUCAACAGAUGUAGAUUAUUCCUUGCACAAGAGAUGAUGAUGAGCUGUGAAUGAGUUCUGAGAGAUGGCUGGUGUUGUUGUUGCUCCCUCCCCUGCACUGCCUCUUCCCUGGCUCCCCUGCACACCUCUCUCU
rfam:Oryza sativa Japonica Group DNA, chromosome 1, cultivar: Nipponbare, complete sequence.